UACGUAGGUGGCAAGCGUUGUCCGGAUUGACUGGGCGUAAAGCGCACGCAGGCGGAUGCGCGCGUGGGGUGUGAAAUCUGGCCGCUUAACGGCCAGGCGCCAUCCCAUACGGCGCGUCUGGAGUGAUGCAGAGGUCGAUGGAAUUGCCGGUGUAGUGGUGAAAUGCGUAGAGAUCGGCAGGAACACCCAGGGGGAAACCAGUCGACUGGGCAUCUACUGACGCUGAGGUGCGAGAGCGUGGGGAGCGAACCGG
rnacentral:rRNA from 1 species